CUUUUUCCAUGUGUAGGAACUUGCAAGGAUGGCAGGAGGCUACAGAGAGCAGACUUGAAACCCUGUGAAAAGAAGAAAUAAGCAAAGCAAGAGGAUAAGCCCUGGGAGAACAGCGUGCUUCCCAGUGUCUGCCUCGUCCUGCACAGUAAGAGCCAGGUCAACUUCAGGAAAUAAGCAAGGCCUCUAAAAGGAAGCACGACCAGAAAAUACAGCACAACUAGGAGCAUAUGGAAGGGAUCCAAGAAGUGGAGACCAUCAUUCGGUAAUAGAAUCUGCUUUGGAGAUGAGAGAGCCUAGAAGGAUGCCCAAUGCCCAGAUGGCAACAGCGCCCUCACAUGCUAUGUACAAUUC
rnacentral:lncRNA from 1 species